rnacentral:rRNA from 1 species
AAUGAACGCUGGCGGCAGGCCUAACACAUGCAAGUCGAACGGAACCUUCGGGAUUAGUGGCGGACGGGUGAGUAACGCGUGGGAACAUACCCUUUGGUACGGAAUAGCCUCGGGAAACUGUGAGUAAUACCGUAUGUGGUCGAGAGACGAAAGAUUUAUCGCCAAAGGAUUGGCCCGCGUUGGAUUAGAGAGUUAGUGGGGUAAUGGCCUACCAAGCCGACGAUCCAUAGCUGGUUUGAGAGGAUGAUCAGCCACACUGGGACUGAGACACGGCCCAGACUCCUACGGGAGGCAGCAGUGGGGAAUCUUAGACAAUGGGGGAAACCCUGAUCUAGCCAUGCCGCGUGAUCGAUGAAGGCCUUAGGGUUGUAAAGAUCUUUCAGGUGGGAAGAUAAUGACUGUACCACCAGAAGAAGCCCCGGCUAACUCCGUGCCAGCCGCCGCAGUAA